rnacentral:rRNA from 1 species
UCGGGAACCGGAGAGUGGCGCACGGGUGAGUAACGCGUGGGGACCUACCUCUUAGUGGGGGAUAACGGUUGGAAACGACCGCUAAUACCGCAUACGCCCUUCGGGGGAAAGAUUUAUCGCUAAGAGAUGGACCCGCGUUGGAUUAGAUAGUUGGUGAGGUAACGGCUCACCAAGUCAGCGAUCCAUAGCUGGUUUGAGAGGAUGAUCAGCCAUACUGGGACUGAGACACGGCCCAGACUCCUACGGGAGGCAGCAGUGGGGAAUAUUGGACAAUGGGCGGAAGCCUGAUCCAGCCAUGCCGCGUGAGUGAAGAAGGCCUUCGGGUUGUAAAGCUCUUUCAGAUGCGAAGAUGAUGACGGUAACAUCAGAAGAAGCCCCGGCUAAUUUCGUGCCAGCAGCCGCGGUAAUACGAAAGGGGCAAGCGUUGUUCGGAUUUACUGGGCGUAAAGGGCACGCAGGCGGUCUUGCCAGUCAGGGGUGAAAGCCCGGGGCUCAACCCCGGAACUGCCUCUGAUACUGCAGGACUAGAGACUAGGAGAGGGUGGUGGAAUUCCCAGUGUAGAGGUGAAAUUCGUAGAUAUUGGGAGGAACACCAGAGGCGAA